UCGCGGAUUAGAGAGAUCUUUUCCUUCAGUUCGGCUGGAUCGGUGACAGGUGCUGCAUGGCUGUCGUCAGCUCGUGUCGUGAGAUGUUGGGUUAAGUCCCGCAACGAGCGCAACCCUCGUCCUUAGUUGCCAUCAUUUAGUUGGGCACUUUAAGGAAACUGCCGGUGAUAAGCCGGAGGAAGGUGGGGAUGACGUCAAGUCCUCAUGGCCCUUACAGGCUGGGCUACACACGUGCUACAAUGGCGAUGACAGUGGGCAGCAAACUCGCAAGGGUGAGCUAAUCUCCAAAAGUCGUCUCAGUUCGGAUUGCACUCUGCAACUCGAGUGCAUGAAGGCGGAAUCGCUAGUAAUCGCGGAUCAGCAUGCCGCGGUGAAUACGUUCCCAGGCCUU
rnacentral:rRNA from 1 species